rnacentral:tRNA from 1 species
GGUGGGAUGGCAGAGUGGCCUAUUGCGCCGGUCUUGAAAACCGGUGGCGUCAGCCUCCUGGGUUCGAAUCCCAGUCCCACCG